GACGAACGCUGGCGGCGUGCUUAACACAUGCAAGUCGAACGGAAAGGCCCUGCUUUUGUGGGGUGCUCGAGUGGCGCACGGGUGAGUAACACGUGAGUAACCUGCCCUUGACUUUGGGAUAACUUCAGGAAACUGGGGCUAAUACCGGAUAGGAGCUCCUGCUGCAUGGUGGGGGUUGGAAAGUUUUGGCGGUUGGGGAUGGACUCGCGGCUUAUCAGCUUGUUGGUGGGGUAGUGGCUUACCAAGGCUUUGACGGGUAGCCGGCCUGAGAGGGUGACCGGCCACAUUGGGACUGAGAGACGGCCCAGACUCCUACGGGAGGCAGCAGUGGGGAAUAUUGCACAAUGGGCGGAAGCCUGAUGCAGCAACGCCGCGUGCGGGAUGACGGCCUUCGGGUUGUAAACCGCUUUCGCCUGUGACGAAGCGUGAGUGACGGUAAUGGGUAAAGAAGCACCGGCUAACUACGUG
rnacentral:rRNA from 1 species